GAACGUCCAGCCUGGAGCUAGCUUUGACAGCCAUCAUAGAGGUCUCGCUCCAGAUCCCACUGUUGUACGAGACUGCCAGGUGCUCAGGAUGAGUUGCACGAUGCCUUCCCAGGCCUGUAGCUGAUUUCCGCUGCAGCGUCCACCGGGACUGCUCUCAGUGAGGACUCUCCUGCCCUGGCCUCCUGUUGCAAGAGGACAGCAGCUCUGUGCACAGUGCGAUGAGAAGAUGGCUGCUUCUCUGGGAGGCUCUUCCUGACCCUGCGCCUGCAGUGCCUCAGGCUCCCCAGGCCACAGAGACUCUCCCUGGUUGUGGUGUUGCUCUCCCUGGCCCAGGCUAUAACCUCGGCGACACAGUUCUCCCGGCAGAGGCCAUGCCUGCCAGCUGGAGUUCUUUUCACCCCCCUCUCCUCCCCUUUGUGCUGUUGUAUUAACUCAGUCCUUCAUCUGUUGUUUUCUUUUUGCCAAUCUCGCCUCUUUCAGGACUGCUGUUUGAAACUGCUUUUUGCCCUACGUGCAUCAGGUGUGCUGUGCUCUGGUCUGUGAGGUGCUGGGGGGCACAACUUUCCUAGAAACACAGGCCCAUAGAGCGAGUGUUCGUUGAAUGAAUACAGGUGUGUUACCCAGUUCCAGCUCAGCUACUCAUGUUAGCUGCUUAAUCUUUGGCAAAUGACUUAGACUUCUUGGUUCUUAGUUUAUAUAACCCUAAGUGAACCUCCAAACAAGCACAUGCUUCCUAUUUGUAGUGAAUAUCUGUUGCAUGAUACCUAGCAUGCUGUGGACCCAGGGCUGCCAUAUACUGUUCCUGUCAUUAGCGGUUGCUCACCUUGUACUUAGCAGUGUUACCUGACCCAGCUGAGGGAAUUAAAAUUUGUGUUACUGAAUCUCAAAGUCCCUUCGUUGCUAGGGGAGGUCUAGACUUAGGGAUAUAGCUGCAGCCAGAGAUGCAGGGGCUCCCAUUUUCCUGGAGAGUAGUUUUGACCUCCUCUUCCCUGAAGCCCCCUAAGGCUCUAGGUCCUCUUUUUUCCUACCCCAGUUCCUGACAUCCAGGCUGGGGCUGGAUUAGGGCUGGUUUCUGGCCACUUUCCUUGGAUCUGUGUGUUCUGACACGGCCUCUGUUGAGGUCCUGUACGGUGUGUGUGUGUGUUUGGGGGUGUCUCUGUGUGUAUUCCAGUUUGCCUUGAGUCCACUUUCCAAAAUCUUGUUCACAAAAUACACUUUCCCUUUGCCAAAUAGAAUGUUCAUAAAAAUACAGUGAGGGUUUACACUGAAAGUUUAUUAUAAUAAAAGACAUUGCCCUUAUUUCCCAGUGAACACACAGAUCCUGUUCUUGCCACAAUCUGAAGCGGUUUUGGAACUUUUCUUUCAUGUCUUUUAUUGUGUUGUCAUGCCUGCCUCGAUGUCCUGAACUGUUUCAAAAUGUUUAGCUUUCAGGGGCUGCGGAUUUAGCUCAGCGGCAUAAGUACCUGCCUUGCAAGCAGGCGGUAGUGAGUUCAAUCCCCGGUACCGAUGAAAAAAAAUGUUUAGCUUUCAUGGUCAUUUUGACUUUGGGGGAGUCAGAAAGGGGCAAGAAUGGUGGGAUAAGUGAAAAAUUAAUGGCAGUGUGUCUUUCAUUGUAAUAAAUUCUUAAAGUUUAAGCAUUCACGUUACGUUUCAGUUACACUGCGUGCCCGUUCUUGUUCCACUUGCCUCUAUUACUUGCAGUAUAUUGAACGGCCACCAGAUGGCACAGCUUAUACACCUGAGCAUCAAAGAGGACCGAGCCCAGGCUGGCAGUCUGUGGAGUGGCCACUGGUGGGAUCACUGGAAAGGUUAUUAAAGGUGCUAAUUCGCCUAUUCACCUGCCCUCUCGGUAAGCGUCUGCAACGCGGGCCAGGAGGAGAACAGAACUCCAGAGUUCCUGCCAUGGAGGGACUCAGGCAGCUUAUUCACCUGCCCUCUUGAUAAGCGCCUGCAGCUUGGGCCUGGAGGAGAGCCAUUACCUGUGAGCCAACUUCCACGAGAGCUGAAAAUCAAGCACCCUUCCCCACCUGCCCCCUCCCUCCUUACCUACUGGGGAUAGACAUUUCAACAUCUCUUGGGAAGAUGGCCAUAUGCAGUAUAGCAAAUAUGGGGGAUUUCCUUCUCUCUUCUGUUUAAAGGCAUAGGUUGUUUUCACUUUUUGUUAUAUUUCUUUUGCUCUAUUCAGUAUUCUCAAUUGGUUUUACAAUGUUCUAUUUUUUAUUUGAUUUUACAAUACAUAAUUGACUGGAUAGCUAUUGUUAAUUAAAGAGAUAUACCAUAGUACUUAGUACUACUAUCCCAGUAUCCUACUGUGAAAUCCUGUACCAAUUUCACUGCAUUGUCUCAAUUGGCUUUGUUCUGUCUUGUGCUGUUGCAUAUUUGCUACUUUCAAAAUUAAAAAAAAAAUACACGUUAAAACCUAUUCAUGUGUAGAAUCUAUAAACAGUUUAUGAGAACUGAUCUUAUGACAAUUGACAAAAUGAACAGAUACUUUGAAGAAAAGGAGACAUUAAAAUACCCAGUGCUGAUCCUGGAGUGUCAUAAUGUGAAACCCAGCAAUAGUGUUAUUCUUUGUUCAGAGUGAUAUUAGCCUGGAGUGUCAUAAUGUGAAACCCAGCAAUAGUGUUAUUCUUUGUUCAGAGUGAUAUUAGCCUGCUUGGGUUUAUUGAAAGUCAAAAUAAUUGAAGAUAUGGGUAACUGCAUAUAUGUUUAAGUGUAGAGGAUUGAUAACCAUAUUUCUAAGUUUUUGUUGGAUAGCUGAACAGAACUGGUUGCAAUCUCACUGUUUGAAUCCCCACUUUAUAUGCUCCAAUUUAGUAUCUUGAAUAACUAUUUGUAAGAAGACAAUCUGUAAUCAUCAACUAGUGGUUUCUUACUGUUGAUUUUUCUUUGAAAGUAUGUAUUAUUACUACCUGUUUUCUGUUUUUUUAGUCUUUCUUUAAAUUCAGUUUUAAAAAGAAGACACUACAGUACCCAGUGCUGAUCAUGGAGUGUAAUGAUGUGAAAGCCAGCAAUACUAUUAUUCUUUGUUCAAAAUGAUUUUAACCUGCUUUAGUUUGUUUAAUCUAAACAUAAAUGAAGAUAUGGAUAACUGCAUGUAUGUUUAAAUGUAUAGGAUUGACAACCAUGUUACUAAGUUUUUGUUGAUUAGACAGUUGAUUAGAACUUUUUGCAGUCUCUCUGUUUGAAUUCCCACUUUACAUGUUCCAUUUUUGUACCUUGAACAACUAUUUGUAAAACGACAAAUUCAACCAGUGAUUUCUUACUCUUUUUUUUUCCUCUGAAUGUAUGUACUAUUUCUACCUAUUUUCUGUUUUGUUUAAUCUUUCUUUAAAUUAAAAAAAAAGAAAAAAAAGA